UUCGCUUGAAAAGAUGAGUUCUCUGCGAUGGCUAGCUUUUGGCACCAUUUUGCUGCUUCAUCAGGGAUCGGGCCAAUUUCUAGAUGAGAAUUGUGCGAUUAUUAAUCCUUUUGACGGGUCAUCCUCGUCUCCUUGGUUAGCGGAAGUUCGAACACCUUCCGAGUUAAUUUGCUCUGGCACUCUGAUUAACAAACAAUAUGUUCUGACUGCUGCAAGUUGCAUAAAAAACCAAACCAAACUCACUGUUCGCUUGGGGAAAAGCUGCGAUAAAGACAGCACUCAAAGUUUCCCUAUAUCAAAUGCCUACAUUUACAAGCCAUAUUCCGAAAUAACAAAAAAAAAUAAUAUUGGUUUGCUUAAAUUGCUAAUGCCAGUGCAAUAUAGUGCCAAUGUACAACCAUUAUGCAUUACAAAAGACAGUUCAGGCCAAACCACCGGGCUUACCUUUAAAAUAUUGAACAAUAAGCCUGAAGUAGGUAAAUGGUGUCAGGUAAAAUCAUUUUUUGGUAAUUAUUGUGCUGACAAGAUAAGUGAAAGGUAUUUGGCAUCAAAGCUCAUUGGGAGUCCCUGGACUAAUAUGAUUUUUAAUGGACCUUUGGGGCGCUGCAUACAACAUGGAAUACUUAGUUAUCGUAAUGCAGAAAUUAAUGAAGACACUUACACCAAUAUUUUUGCUUAUAUCGAUUGGAUAGUAGAGCUGGCCUUAGAAGUUGAUAUUCUUUUUCCAAAUUCCGAACUAGAGCAUUAAAUGCGGUAUAAACAAUACAUGUUAAAAUUAUUUCA